GAUUCUAUUGAAAAAUAUUUUACUGUGACAAAACAAGCAAGUGCUGGUAUGAAUCAAAAUAUUAUUUGAAUUAAUGUUUUGUUGUUCAAAUUGAAUAGUGUGCUGUCAAUGUAUUUGAAAAAAAGGUAGGGGUGCACACACAGAAGUUUAACUUUUCAGACUAUACAAACAUACUAUGAAGUGGUAUGUACAAACUUACAAAUUUUAGUUUAUUAUUGCAACAGUUUGUACCCAAACAAGACAGUUCCAUUGACUGUGGUGCUGAUCUGUGCAAAUUAUGCAUAUCUAAUAUGUUAUUGUUAAAAUUAAUUGACUUUUAGUUUGCCUAUACAUCAUACUGUGUUGUGAUGGAGUGUUCUGAUAUGUUGUCCAAGUAUAAAUUCUAUUGUAAUGGUUAUGCUCUGUCAUAACAUUGUUUAUUAGAUAACUUCAAAAUUUUUGAGGCAAUGGCUUAUGACUCUCAUGCUUCACAGUUUCAGGUACAAUUUGCUAUUGAAAUGGAAUAUCAUUUUUAUAUAGGUGGAAGACAAUAACUAUUAGCGUUGCAAUCAGAGUUGCUUAGUGCUGAGCAACUCUUUACAAUGAUUUACAAGCAUUGAAACAGGAUCUGCAAAAAAAGUGUGGCAUUCCUAGCCCAGGCUAGAUUCUAAAGCUCAAUAUAACUAUUUCAAAGGGUCUCCUUAUCUUUAAAGAGCAGUGAUUUCAAGGAUAUUGAACUAUUAUUAUUUUAAUUGUGUAAUUAAAUGAAAUCAGUAUCUCAGUAUAGUGUUGCAUGCAAUAGCACUGAUAAAAAUUAAUCAUAAAAUUUCA